rnacentral:rRNA from 1 species
CCAGGACCAAGGUCAGCAGCAGGCGCGAAAAUUAUCGAAGCCCGCCUAGGGGCGAUAGUGAGGAGACGUGUAUAACGAAGUACGUGUAAAGAACGUGCUAAUAACUGGAGGUCAAGUCUGGUGCCAGCAUCCGCGGUAAUUCCAGCUCCAGGGGUGUCUAUGAUGAUUGCUGCGAUUAAAAAGUCCGUAGUCAAUCUGACUGACUGACCUGCAAUGUGAUUGAUUAAAGAACGAGCAGGGUUAGGAAAGCAGAGAAUUAGGAGCGACCGAGGGCUAGAGUAUUGAAUGGCGAGAGGUGAAAUUUGAUGACCCAUUCAGGAGUGACAAAGGCGAAGGCACUAGUCAAGGGCGAAUCCGAUGAUCAAGGACGUAGGCUAGAGUUUCGAAAACGAUUAGAGACCGGAGUAGUUCUAGCAGUAAACUAUGCCGACGCCGUGGUAUCAUUUUUGGUAUUGCGGAAGAGAAAUCAAGUAAGGCUUUGGGGAGAGUACGCGCGCAAGCGAUAAAUU